AGAGUUUGAUCCUGGCUCAGAACGAACGCUGGCGGCAGGCUUAACACAUGCAAGUCGAACGCACCUUCGGGUGAGUGGCAGACGGGUGAGUAACGCGUGGGAACGUGCCCUUCAGUUCGGAAUAACCCAGGGAAACUUGGGCUAAUACCGGAUACGUGCGAGAGCAGAAAGAUUUAUCGCUGAAGGAUCGGCCCGCGUCUGAUUAGCUAGUUGGUGGGGUAAUGGCCCACCAAGGCGACGAUCAGUAGCUGGUCUGAGAGGAUGAUCAGCCACAUUGGGACUGAGACACGGCCCAAACUCCUACGGGAGGCAGCAGUGGGGAAUAUUGGACAAUGGGCGCAAGCCUGAUCCAGCCAUGCCGCGUGAGUGAUGAAGGCCUUAGGGUUGUAAAGCUCUUUCGGCGGGGACGAUAAUGACGGUACCCGCAGAAGAAGCCCCGGCUAACUUCGUGCCAGCAGCCGCGGUAAUACGAAGGGGGCUAGCGUUGUUCGGAAUCACUGGGCGUAAAGGGCGCGUAGGCGGCUUGAUAAGUCGGGGGUGAAAGCCUGUGGCUCAACCACAGAAUUGCCUUCGAUACUGUCUGGCUUGAGACCGGAAGAGGUAAGUGGAACUGCGAGUGUAGAGGUGAAAUUCGUAGAUAUUCGCAAGAACACCAGUGGCGAAGGCGGCUUACUGGUCCGGUUCUGAGCUGAGGCGCGAAAGCGUGGGGAGCAAACAGGAUUAGAUACCCUAGUAGUCC
rnacentral:rRNA from 1 species